UUUCCGUAGGUGAACCUGCGGAAGGAUCAUUACAGAGUUCAUGCCCUCACGGGUAGAUCUCCCACCCUUGAAUAUUUAUACCUUAGUUGCUUUAGCAGGCCGUGGAAACACCAUGGGCUCCGGCUUAUGCGUGCCUGCCAGAGGAAACAAACUCUGUUUUUAGUGAUGUCUGAGUACUAUAUAAUAGUUAAAACUUUCAACAACGGAUCUCUUGGUCCUG
rnacentral:misc_RNA from 1 species